rnacentral:rRNA from 1 species
CCUACGGGAGGCUGCAGUAGGGAAUAUUGCUCAAUGGGGGAAACCCUGAAGCAGCAACGCCGCGUGGAGGAUGAAGGUUUUCGGAUUGUAAACUCCUUUUGUUAGAGAAGAUAAUGACGGUAUCUAACGAAUAAGCACCGGCUAACUUCGUGCCAGCAGCCGCGGUAAUACGGAGGGUGCAAGCGUUACUCGGAAUCACUGGGCGUAAAGAGCGCGUAGGCGGGAUAGCAAGUCAGAUGUGAAAUCCUAGGGCUUAACCAUAGAACUGCAUUUGAAACUGUUAUUCUAGAGUAUGGGAGAGGUAGGUGGAAUUCUUGGUGUAGGGGUAAAAUCCGUAGAGAUCAAGAGGAAUACUCAUUGCGAAGGCGACCUGCUAGAACAUAACUGACGCUGAUGCGCGAAAGCGUGGGGAGCAAACAGGAUUAGAUACCCGGGUAGUU